rnacentral:rRNA from 1 species
AUUGAACGCUGGCGGCAUGCUUUACACAUGCAAGUCGAACGGUAACAGGUUAAGCUGACGAGUGGCGAACGGGUGAGUAAUGCAUCGGAACGUGCCCGGUCGUGGGGGAUAACGCAGCGAAAGCUGCGCUAAUACCGCAUACGAUCUAAGGAUGAAAGCGGGGGACCGUAAGGCCUCGCGCGAUCGGAGCGGCCGAUGUCAGAUUAGGUAGUUGGUGGGGUAAAGGGUCACCAAGCCAACGAUCUGUAGCUGGUCUGAGAGGACGACCAGCCAGACUGGGACUGGGACACGGCCCAGACUCCUACGGGAGGCAGCAGUGGGGAAUUUUGGACAAUGGGCGAAAGCCUGAUCCAGCAAUGCCGCGUGCAGGAAGAAGGCCUUCGGGUUGUAAACUGCUUUUGUACGGAGCGAAAAGGUCUCCUCUAAUACAGGGGGCUCAUGACGGUACCGUAAGAAUAAGCACCGGCUAACUACGUGCCAGCUGCCGCGGUAA